UACGUAGGUGGCAAGCGUUGUCCGGAUUUACUGGGCGUAAAGGGCGUGCAGGCGGUCUGUUAAGUGCAGGGUGAAAGCUCCCGGCUCAACUGGGAGAGGUCCUUGCAUACUGGCGGACUUGAGGGGGGUAGAGGAAAGUGGAAUUCCACGUGUAGCGGUGAAAUGCGUAGAGAUGUGGAGGAACACCAGUGGCGAAGGCGACUUUCUGGUCUGUAACUGACGCUGGAGGCGCGAAAGCGUGGGGAGCAAACAGG
rnacentral:rRNA from 1 species